AAGUCUCUCUCAGUCCGGACACAGCAUGGACAUGAGGGCUUCAGCUCAGCUCCUGGGACUCCUGUUGCUCUGGCUCCCAGAUACCAGAUGUGCCAUCCAGAUGACCCAGUCUCCAUCCUCCCUGUCCGCAUCUGUAGGAGACAGAGUCACCAUCACUUGCCGGGCGAGUCAGAGCAUUGGUAGUAAUUUAGCCUGGUAUCAGCAGAAACCGGGGAAAGUUCCUAAGCUCCUGAUCUAUGCUGCAUCCACUUUGCAAUCAGAGGUCCCAUCUCGGUUCAGCGGCAGUGGAUCUGGGGCGGAUUUCACUCUCACCAUCAGCAGCCUGCAGCCUGAAGAUGUUGCAACUUAUUACUGUCAAAAGUGUGACAGUGCCCCUCCCACUGUGAUACAAGCCCGAACAUAAACCAUGGAGGGAAGUAGAUGUGUGAGGCUGGGCUGCCCCAACUGCUUCCCCUGGUGCCGCCGACUGCUGACAGCAG